rnacentral:rRNA from 1 species
GGGAAUUGGAGUAAUUUAAUCUACACCUAUAAACGCCAGGGAAUUACGAGCCAAGCUUAAAACCCAAAGGACUUGACGGUGUCCCAACCAACUAGAGGAGCCUGUCCUAUAAUCGAUGAUCCACGUUUCACCUGACCCCCCCUUGCCUUUCAGCCUGUAUACCUCCGUCGUAAAUCCGCCAUAUGAAUGUUUUCAGCGGAUCCAAUGACCUCCCCGUAAAUACGUCAGGUCAAGGUGCAGCCCAUGGAGGGAGGAAGUGAUGGGCUACAAUUUCUAGUCUAGAACAAACGAAAUACUGCAUGAAACACAUUAUGAAGGAGGAUUUAGUAGUAAAAAGAAAAUAGCAUAUUCUUUUUAACAUGGCUCUGGGACGUGUACACACCGCCCGUCACCCUCAAUGGGGGCGCCGCCCGUUACCAUCUGUGGACGCCCCCCUCGAUCCUAUUUAUUGCACCAGAAAGCUGGAGA